GGGUCCUUAGCUCAGCCGGUAGAGCAGCUGGCUUUUAACCAGUUGGUCGCGCGUUCGAAUCGCGCAGGACCCACCA
rnacentral:tRNA from 1 species